CCUUCGGGCGCCGACGAGUGGCGGACGGGUGAGUAAUGCGUAGGAAUCUGCCUUGUUGUGGGGGAUAACUCGGGGAAACUCGAGCUAAUACCGCAUACGCUCCACGGAGGAAAGCGGGGGAUCUUCGGACCUCGCGCAAUAAGAUGAGCCUACGUCGGAUUAGCUGGUUGGUGGGGUAAAGGCCCACCAAGGCGACGAUCCGUAGCUGGUCUGAGAGGACGAUCAGCCACACUGGGACUGAGACACGGCCCAGACUCCUACGGGAGGCAGCAGUGGGGAAUAUUGGACAAUGGGCGCAAGCCUGAUCCAGCAAUGCCGCGUGUGUGAAGAAGGCCUGCGGGUUGUAAAGCACUUUAAGCAGGAAAGAAGGGUGGGGUGUUAAUACCAUCUCACAUUGACGUUACCUGCAGAAUAAGCACCGGCUAACUCCGUGCCAGCAGCCGCGGUAAUACGGAGGGUGCGAGCGUUAAUCGGAAUUACUGGGCGUAAAGCGUGCGUAGGCGGUUGGAUAAGUCUGAUGUGAAAGCCCUGGGCUUAACCUGGGAAUGGCAUUGGAUACUGUCGGACUGGAGUGUGGUAGAGGGUAGUGGAAUUUCCGGUGUAGCAGUGAAAUGCGUAGAGAUCGGAAGGAACACCAGUGGCGAAGGCGGCU
rnacentral:rRNA from 1 species